AUUUAAAAAAAUUGUAUUUUAACUUUUCUUUUGGCAUGCAUAUUUUUUUAGUAUAGUUAAGACUAAGUUUAUAUCAUACUUUUUUUAACUAUUAUUCUAUUAUAUUCUUUAUUCACUAUUAUUUUAGAAUUAGCUAUUUUAAACAUGUGACAAGUAGUACGACACUGUAUUGAUGUAUGUGAAAUGUAUAGAGUCUUUCAGUUAUCAGAUAAUGUCAAGGAGUUGACAGCAUGGUGUCCGAUUCAAAGUGCGAACCUGUGUACGAGUAACAAUAGUAUUCAAAACCAAAACCUAUUUAAACCAACCAAACCAAAACUAGCGACCAAAAACUAACUUGGCAUUGGUUUAUUUUAAACAUUUAUUAUAUAUAUGUGUGUUUUUUAUAUAAAUGUACUAGCUUGAGUAUAGUGUAUUAAAAACAUUUUUCGUGUAUUUUUAUUGUAAUUUAAAGUAUAU